rfam:Ipomoea nil DNA, scaffold: scaffold3056, cultivar: Tokyo-kokei standard.
GCCCGUCUAGCUCAGUCGGUAGAGCGCAAGGCUCUUAACCUUGUGGUCCUGGGUUCAAGCCCCUGGGUGGGCU